rnacentral:rRNA from 1 species
CUCAGAACGAACGCUGGCGGCGUGGCUAAGACAUGCAAGUCGAACGGACUGGUCAAUUUAUUGGACAGUUAGUGGCGAAAGGGUUAGUAACGGAUAGGUAACGUACCCUGUGCUUUGGGAUAGCGUCAUCCCGACUUCGGUCGGGAUUUCCGAAAGGGGCGGUAAUACCAAAUAAUAUCAUUUGUCGAUAGGCGGAUGAUCAAAGAUUUAUCGGCAUAGGAGCGGCCUGCCUCCUAUCAGCUUGUUGGUGAGGUAAUGGCUCACCAAGGCAGCGACGGGUAGCGGGACUGAGAGGUUGGCCCGCAACAUCGGGACUGAGACACUGCCCGGACCUCCACGGAGGGCUGCAGUAACGAAUAUUGUGCAAUGGGCGAAAGCCUGACACAGCGACGCCGCGUGUAGGAGGAAGUCCCUCGGGAUGUAAACUACUGUCAGGGGGAAGAAAGUGCGCUUCGGCGCAUUGAUCUAACCCAAAGGAAGUCACGGCUAACUUCGUGCCAGCAGCCGCGGUAAGACNAANGUGGCAAGCGUUGUUCGGUAUUACUGGGCUUAAAGCGUGUGUAGGCGGAAAUGUAAGCGUUGCGUGAAAUCCCCCGGCUUANCCGGGGAACUGCGCAACGAACUGCUUUUCUUGAGGCAAGUAGGGGUGCAUGGAACUCUUGGUGGAGCGGUGGAAUGCGUAGAUAUCAAGAGGAACGCCAGUGGAGAAAUCGGUGCACUGGGCUUGUCCUGACGCUGAGACACGAAAGCGUGGGUAGCGAACGGGAUUAGAUACCCCGGUAGUCCACGCCGUAAACGAUGCCUACUAGGUUGUGAAAGUUCUGACACUGGCACAGCCGAAGCAAAAGUGCUAAGUAGGCCGCCUGGGGAGUACGGUCGCAAGGCUAAAACUCAAAGGAAUUGACGGGGGCUCACACAAGCGGUGGAGCAUGUGGAUCAAUUCGAAGCAACGCGUAGAACCUUACCUGGGUUUGACAUGCUUGGAUGCCGCCUCCGAAAGGGGGUCUGGCUGCCUUCGGGUGAAACUUGCACAGGUGCUGCAUGGCUGUCGUCAGCUCGUGUCGUGAGAUGUCGGGUUAAGUCCUUUAACGAGCGAAACCCUUGCCGUUAGUUGCCAGCGGGUAAUGCCGGGGACUCUAGCGGGACUGCCGGUGUUAAACCGGANGAAGGUGGGGACGACGUCNAGUCAUCAUGGCCUUUAUGCCCNGGGCCUCACACGUGCUACAAUGGCGGCUACNNAGCGACNCGAGACCNUGAGGUGGAGCAAAUCNCAAAAAANUCNCCCCNNUUCGNAUUGNANNNNGGCAACUCNCCNGNAUNAANUUGGAAU